GAUUUCUGGUAUGGCGCACUUGGCCCGCUUCGGUUACGAGGUCGAGUGCCGGUGUGCGCCUGCCAUCCUUCUAGAGUACGUCUCUCCCUUCAGUGGGUUGGGCCGGAAUCUAGAUCAUUUACUUUGAAAAAAUUAGAGUGUUUAAAGCAGGCUUACGCUAUGAAUACAUUAGCAUGGAAUAAUAAUUUAGGACUUUGGUCUUAUUUUGUUGGUUUCUAGGACUAAAGUAAUGAUUGAUAGGGACAGUUGGGGGUGCUAGUAUUCAGCGGCCAGAGGUGAAAUUCUUGGAUUCGCUGAAGACUAACUUAUGCGAAAGCAUU
rnacentral:rRNA from 1 species